rnacentral:rRNA from 1 species
AGCGAACGCUGGCGGCAGGCCUAACACAUGCAAGUCGAACGAAGUUUUCGGUUUCCAGCGGCGGACGGGUGAGUAACACGUGGGCAACCUGCCUCACAAUGAGGGAUAGCCCUCCGAAAGGAGGCUUAAUAACUCAUAACACACGAGAAACGCAUGUUUCUCUUGCCAAAGAAUUUCGUUGUGAGAUGGGCCCGCGGCGCAUUAGCUUGUUUGUGAGGUAACGGCUCACCAAGGCUUCGAUGCGUAGCCGACCUGAGAGGGUGAUCGGCCACAUUGGAACUGAGACACGGUCCAGACUCCUACGGGAGGCAGCAGUGGGGAAUAUUGCACAAUGGAGGAAACUCUGAUGCAGCAACGCCGCGUGAGUGAUGAAGGUCUUCGGAUUGUAAAGCUCUGUCUUCUGGGACGAUAAUGACGGUACCAGAGGAGGAAGCCACGGCUAACUACGUGCCAGCAGCCGCCGCCG